GAUGAACGCUGGCGGCGUGCCUAAUACAUGCAAGUCGAGCGAACAGACGAGGAGCUUGCUCCUUCGACGUUAGCGGCGGACGGGUGAGUAACACGUGGAUAACCUACCUAUAAGACUGGGAUAACUUCGGGAAACCGGAGCUAAUACCGGAUAAUAUUUUGAACCGCAUGGUUCAAUAGUGAAAGACGGCUUUGCUGUCACUUAUAGAUGGAUCUGCGCCGUAUUAGCUAGUUGGUAAGGUAACGGCUUACCAAGGCAACGAUACGUAGCCGACCUGAGAGGGUGAUCGGCCACACUGGAACUGAGACACGGUCCAGACUCCUACGGGAGGCAGCAGUAGGGAAUCUUCCGCAAUGGGCGAAAGCCUGACGGAGCAACGCCGCGUGAGUGAUGAAGGUCUUCGGAUCGUAAAACUCUGUUAUUAGGGAAGAACAAAUGUGUAAGUAACUGUGCACGUCUUGACGGUACCUAAUCAGAAAGCCACGGCUAACUACGUG
rnacentral:rRNA from 1 species